ensembl:lncRNA
GGGAUAGGGUUAGGGUUAGCAUUAUGUUCAGGGUCAGGGUUAGGGUUAGGGUAAAUUUAGGGUAAGUGUAGGGUUAGGGAUAGGGUUAGGGUUAGGUUUAGGGUUUGGGUUACGGUUAGGUUCAGGGAUAGGGUUAGGGUUAUGGUUGGGGGUAGGGUUAGGGUUAAGGUUUUAUUUAGUGUUCUGUUUAGCUUUAUGGUUAGGGGUAGGUUAGUGUUAGAAUUAGAUUUAGGGUUACGCUUAGGGUCAGAUUAGGGUAUGGCUUACUGUUAGGGUUAUUGUUAUGGUUAGGGUUAUGGUUCGUGUAGGGUAGGCUUGAGGUUAUAGAAUAGGUUUGGGUUAGGUAAGGGUUAGGGCUACGUUUAAAGUUUUAUUUUUCUUUUGGGUUAGGGUUAGGGUUAAGUUUAGUGUUAAGGUUAGGUUUACGGUUAGGGUUAGGGUUAGGCUUAGUGUUAGGGUUAGCGUUAAAGCAUAUUUAGGGUAAGGGUCGGGUUACAGUUAGCGUUAGGGUUAGGGAUGGGAUUAGCAUAAGGGUUAGGGUUAGAGUUAGGCCUAGGGUAAGUUUAGGGUAAGGGUAGGUUUAGCGAUAGGGUUACGUUAGGGUUAGGGUUAGGGUUAGGGUUAGGGUUAGGGUUGGCAUUAGGGUUAGGGUUAGGGUUUGGGUUAGUCAUAGGGUAAGUUUAGUGUAAGUGUAGGGUUAGGGAUAGGGAUAGCGAUAGUGUUAGGGUUAGGUUUAGGGUUAGGGUUAGGGUUAAAGUACAUUUAGGGUAAGGGUCGGGUUAGGGUUAGGGUUAGGGUUUGGGUUAGGGUUACGGUUAGGGUUAGUGUUAGGGUUAGGGUUAGUGUUAGGGUAGGGGUAAAGUUAUGGUUAGGUUUAUUGUGAGGAUAAGGCUUCGGUUUACGUUUUUGGUUGGGUUCGGCUUAGGGUUAGGGUUAGUGUUACGGUUAGGGCUAAAGUAUGUUUAGGGUAAGGGUCGGGUUAGAGUUAGCGUUAGGGUUAGGGUUACGGUUAGGGUUAGACUUAGGGUAAGUUUAGGGUAAGGGCAGGGUUAGGGAUAGGGUUACGUUAGGGUUAGGGUUAGGGUUAGCUUUAGGGGUAGGGUUAGGGUUAAGUUUAGGGUUAGGGUUAGGGUUAGGGUUAGGGUUAGGGUUAGGGUUAGGGUUAGGGUUAGGGUUAGGGUUAGGGUUAGGGUUAGGGUUAGGGUUAGGGUUUGGGUCAGGGUUAGGGUUAGGGUUGGGCUAGGUUUUGUGUUAGGCUUAGGGUUAGGGUUAGGGUUAGGAAAAUAGGGUUAGAGCUACAUUUGUGGUAGGGAUAGGCUUAGGGUUAGGGUUGGCAUGACGGUUAGGGUUAGGGUUUGGGUUAAGGUUUGGGUUACAGUUAGGGUCAGGGUUGGGGUAGGUUUAGUGUUAGGCUUAGGGUUAGGGUUAGGGUUAGGAAAGUAGUUAGGGUUAGGGUUAGGGUUACGGUUAGGUUUAGGGUUAGGGUUAGGGUUAGGCUUAGGGUUAGGGUUAGGCUUAGGGAUAGUGUUAGGGUUAGGGUUUGGGUUAGGCAUAGGGUAAGUUUGGUGUAAGUGUACAGUUAGGGAUAGGGAUAGCGGUAGUGUUAGGAUUAGGCUUAGGGUUAGGGUUAGUGUUAAGAUUAGGGUUAAAGUAAGGUUAGGGUUAGGGUUAGGGUUAGGCUUAACAUUAUGUUCAGGGUUAGGGUUAGGGUUAGGGUAAAUUUAGGGUAAGUGUAGGGUUAGGGAUAGGGUUAGGGUUAGGGUUAGGGUUAGGGUUAGGGUUAGGGUUAGGGUUAGGGUUAGGGUUAGG